AAUUAGCAGCGGGAAGACUGCGGUCAAGUUGUGAAACAUUGUAACCACAACAGGUUCGUUUGGAAGGAUUUGUGGCUUUAUUUUCCGUUUGGCUUUACCGAGAACACAAUUUGACUCACUGUCAAACUUUGUGGGACGACUAACUGAGGAAAAUACGACAUAUUGUAAACGUUAUCUCCUGGCAGGUACGUUUACGCAAAGGAUUGGCUCCACCCCCGCACCCCCUCCUGUGAACUUGGGAAUGAUUAAUGGAUGAGUGAAAGGUCACAGUAGUUCUCUGACAUGUAUGGGAAAAGCAAAGGAUGAGCAAAAUUUUUUCUGUUUUACUGUUAGAUGUCACUAAAUUCACACACUGGACCUCUCAGAAAGGCUCGCUUUGGCACUGCUUCAACACAAGGUCAGACGCCGUCUUGUGCCAGACCAGCUUCAAUGAACUCAGGAGAGUAAAUAAGUCUAUGACUGAGUAUACUGGUGAUCAUCAACUAGUGGCUCGCAGACCAAAUCAAGCACACAACUGGAUUCCAAAAUUGUGAGUAUCAAACAGAAAAUACGUCUGGUCUCCACUAUUAAAGCAACUGAAAAAAAACUGAGAUUCAGAUAACUAUCAGUGAUCCCCAUCAUUUAUGACUAUAUUCAACAAAUAUUUAGCCCCUGACUAUAUAGUUAGUGACCCCUGCUGUAGACUGAUUAAUAUUGAUGAGGAAAGCUCAAAGCAUUAUAUAAGCCACUGUCAGUAUCCAAGGUAAUGACUAAAAUCCACCAACUCUACGAAUAAAAACGUUAUGCAUAUUGUUAUUAAUAUUUUUCCAUAUUUCCAUAAAAUUAUAUAACCUUCAGUCCAGGACUAAGUUUGGGUAUCGGUCCUAGUGUUCCUCACUCGCUCUGCAGAAAUCCUUGUCGCCUUAAGCCUUAACCAACCACGAGCAGAAGCCCAUUCCUGUUCAGUACUGCCCUGUUUCCAACAUAAAACACUACAGUAUCAAAAACAGGCUGGAGCUGCAGCUGAUGGCAGGGAAAGGGCAGCUGACCUAUGCUGAUUGGUGGAACAACAAGAGUGAGAGCUAUAUUUUAUUUCCUGACCUUUUGCGGUUUGCUUUGCCACCCUCUCCUCUCUGUCAGCAGCACUGAUCAGGUGCACAGCUGUGCACAGGCACGGGUCCUGCAGCCGCUCCAAAUGAUCUCAACAUACAAUCUGUCUCUAUAAUGUUCCAAGCCCCACGCCCUGC